UUUCUCUUCGUUAGUUUCUAACUUUAACUCUACUCUCUCUUUUGCAGAUAUGGAAGAAGCAUCAACGGCGACGCUAAGAUGUAAUCUACCCAAAAAAAUUACCUUCUGUGUUGGGGGGCAUAACUUUGACUGUGUCACCGCACCCGCGUCGGAAAGGUCAUUAAGUUCCGUUCGCCGGCAUCGACUCGUUCAGUCGGCCCAAAGCUUGGUACGGUUUUGUCGGUGAGGAUCCAUUUUUCUGUGUUUUUUUUUUUUUUUUUUAAGGUUCAGAUUCAAAAGGAAGUAGAGAACCGUGAGAAGCGGUCUGAUCACAAUUCUCAGAACCGUGAGGUCUGACUGCAGUUCACAUGGGUCCCUAUUUUUUUCCUGUUGAACGGAUCUGGAGGCUAAAAGAACUGCAAAAAGGAGCGGUUCGAGGUUUUCCCGGUCGGACCGUACAGUCCAGUCCGGGUUUCAAAACCAUGUUCAUAGCAAGAGAUUAAACAUAAAUCAUACAUUUCUUCUUAACCA